GUAGCUCUAACGGCAGAGCACCGGACUCCAAAUCCGAGGGUUGGGGGUUCGAAUCCCUCCUGG
rnacentral:tRNA from 1 species